rnacentral:rRNA from 1 species
AGAAUCAACGCUGGCGGCGUGCCUAACACAUGCAAGUCGCACGAGAAAGGGGAUUCGUCCCUGAGUAAAGUGGCGCACGGGUGAGUAACACGUGAAUUAUCUACCUCCGAGUGGGGGAAUAACUGAGAGAAAUCUUAGCUAAUACCGCAUAACACUUACGAGUCAAAGCAGCAAUGCGCUUGGAGAGGAGUUCGCGGCCGAUUAGUUAGUUGGCGGGGUAAUGGCCCACCAAGACGAUGAUCGGUA